ACCACCAAGACUACAAUUUAUGCUGCCCGAGCUGCAUCACCAAAGAGCCCUAGUACUACAUCGUGAUUCCAUUUUUUUAAAGCAAAAUCCAUUGGGUUUUAAUUUUGAUAUUGUUUUUUGCAGACCCAUCCCCAGCAACGUCAACCUGCAGAAGGAAAGGCCAGUUUGUAUGUCGUUCACUUUCAAAGGUCACGGAGAUCAUUACGUAAAACUGUCAAUGCGGUGGUGUAGAGGUUGGGUGAGAACGGGAAGCGUUUGCCUCAUUUUCAAGCAGGUAAAUAGCCGCAAGGCUUAAGAGAGGGGUCAGGGUGAGAAAAAGUAGUUUAAAAGGAGAGAGAAAAGGCCAAAAAAAUCAGUUGAGUGAGCAUCUCUGACACGGCAACAACUGCUGUACACUAUUUGUCACCAACUGCAUUCUCGAACGUAAUACCAGUUCGCAACCAAAUGUUAACUAUGGCGUCGUGCUGCUGUUGGUUGUUGUAUCCUUGAUGGUUGGGUCGACCACUGGUGUACCGAUGUUUCGUGGGUAUGGUUGAUACCAAACCGCAACGCCGCCGUCUAACACAACAACAACGUGCGCAACAACCGCAUACUUCACUACCAAGGCCGCUGAGUAUUACACCACAACCUGUGAUGUCCCGAACUACUUCACCGAAGCCUCAAAGUAUAAUUCUGCCUCGAGUUACACCACCAAGGCAGCGGAGUACUACACCACCAAGGCAGCGGAGUACUACACCACCAAGGCAGCGGAGUACUACACCACCAAGGCAGCGGAGUACUACACCACCAAGGCAGCGGAGUACUACACCACCAAGGCAGCGGAGUACUACACCACCAAGGCAGCGGAGUACUACACCACCAAGGCAGCGGAGUACUACACCACCAAGGCAGCGGAGUACUACACCACCAAGGCAGCGGAGUACUACACCACCAAGGCAGCGGAGACACCACAAACUACGAUUCCGCAAUUUUCUACAUGAAAAUUUCUAAAUACUCGAGCCGAAAUUUCUGUCAGGUUAUUUAUAUUUGUCGGUUAUUUUAUGAUCAUUGGUCACUGGAAAUUAAUUAUUGAUCUUAAAAGAGAAAAUUAAAGUUUUAAUACGGGUAAUUCUUUUGUAAUACUUUUGUUAGUAACUUCAAGUUUGUCAACUUUGCGUCAGUUGUCUAUUGGUGUUGGAUUUCUUCAAGACCGGUAUGCUGAAUUGUGAAUUGUUUAUUUUAUGGUUUAGAGGUGACUACUGCCUUAUUCAUAUGGACAUGUUCUU